CAGGCUGCAACUCGCCUGCAUGAAGUCGGAAUUGCUAGUAAUCGUAGGUCAGCAUACUACGGUGAAUACGUUCCCGGGCCUUGUACACACCGCCCGUCAAACCAUGAGAGUUGGCAACACCCGAAGUCGGUAGUCUAACCGCAAGGAGGACGCCGCGAAGGUGGGGUUGAUGAUUGGGGUGAAGUCGUAACAAGGUACC
rnacentral:rRNA from 1 species